rnacentral:rRNA from 1 species
UACAGAGGGGGCAAGCGUUGUUCGGAAUUACUGGGCGUAAAGGGCGCGUAGGUGGCCUUCUAAGUUGAACGUGAAAUCCCUCGGCUUAACCGGGGAACUGCGUCCGAUACUGGUUGGCUUGAGUUUGGGAGAGGGAUGCGGAAUUCCAGGUGUAGCGGUGAAAUGCGUAGAUAUCUGGAGGAACACCGGUGGCGAAGGCGGCAUCCUGGACCAAUACUGACGCUGAGGAGCGAAAGCCAGGGGAGCAAACGGG